AUAACACCUCCUAACUUAUUAGGGAUAGAUCGUAGAAUUGCAUAUGCAAAUAGGAAAUAUCAUUCUGGUUGAAUGUGAACUGGUGUUACUAAUGGGUUGGCAGGUACAAAGUUAUCUGGAUCUCCUAAUAGGUACGGAUUAAUUAAACAUAGUAUAAUUAAUAAUGAUGUUAUUAUUACAAAUGUAAUAGAAUCCUUAAAGGUAAAGUAUGGAUGGAAUGGAAUUUUUUCAAUAUCUCCAUUUAGUCCAAGAGGAUUAUUAGAUCCUGUUUGGUGAAGAAAAAAUAAAUGAAUUGCUGCUAUAGCAGCAAUAAUAAAUGGUAAUACAAAAUGGAAUGUGAAGAAUCGAUUUAAUGUUGCAUUAUCAACAGCGAAUCCUCCUCAUACUCAUUGGACUAAAUCUGUUCCUAAGUAUGGGAUUGCUGAUAAUAAAUUAGUAAUUACUGUUGCACCUCAAAAAGAUAUUUGGCCUCAGGGUAAGACAUAUCCUAUAAAUGCAGUUGCUAUAACUAAAAAUAAAAUCACUGUACCAAUUAUUCAGGUAUGUAUAUAUAUAUAAGAUCCAUAGUAAAUUCCCCGUCCUACAUGUAAGUAAAUACAAAUAAAAAAUAUAGAUGCUCCAUUUGCGUGUAAGGUUCGGAUAAUUCAACCAUUAUUUACGUCUCGGCAGAUGUGUACUACACUACUGAAUGCUAUUUCAAUAUUUGAUGUAUAAUGUAUAGCUAAAAAUAGUCCAGUUACGAUUUGAAUUACCAAACAUAACCCUAAUAGGGAUCCAAAAUUUCAUCAAAAUGAAAUAUUUGUUG